rnacentral:tRNA from 1 species
UGUCUAGGGAUGAGAGAAUCGAACUCACAGUGUUCCGCUUACCGGGCAGAUGCCAUGUCCGCUAGGCUGCCCUGGAC